rnacentral:rRNA from 1 species
AUUGAACGCUGGCGGCAGGCCUAACACAUGCAAGUCGAGCGGAUGAGGAAAGCUUGCUUUUCGAUUCAGCGGCGGACGGAUGAGUAAUGCCUAGGAAUCUGCCUGUUAGUGGGGGAUAACUCGGGGAAACUCGGGCUAAUACCGCAUACGUCCUACGGGAGAAAGUGGGGGAUCUUCGGACCUCACGCUGACAGAUGAGCCUAGGUCGGAUUAGCUAGUAGGUGAGGUAAUGGCUCACCUAGGCGACGAUCCGUAACUGGUCUGAGAGGAUGAUCAGUCACACUGGAACUGAGACACGGUCCAGACUCCUACGGGAGGCAGCAGUGGGGAAUAUUGGACAAUGGGCGAAAGCCUGAUCCAGCCAUGCCGCGUGUGUGAAGAAGGUCCUCGGAUUGUAAAGCACUUUAAGUUGGGAGGAAGGGUAUUCACCUAAUACGUGGGUACUUUGACGUUACCAACAGAAUAAGCACCGGCUAACUCCGUGCCAGCCGCCGCCGUAACAC